rnacentral:rRNA from 1 species
AGAAUCAACGCUGGCGGCGUGCCUCAGACAUGCAAGUCGAACGCGAAAGUCCCCUUCGGGGGGCAAGUAGAGUGGCGCACGGGUGAGUAACACGUAGGUAAUCUACCUUUGGAUGGGGAAUAACAACCGGAAACGGUUGCUAAUACCGCAUAAUGCAGCGGCACCUAAUGGUGACAGUUGUUAAAGCGGGGGAUCGAAAGACCUCGCGUCUGAAGAGGAGCCUGCGGCGGCUUAGCUAGUUGGUAAGGUAAUGGCUUACCAAGGCUACGAUCC